GGCGGGUGGGAGUAAACCCCUAAAAAAGCUGGAGAAGACAAGUGCUGUAGCAAUAGUAACAACAGCCCCCGAUCGCUGAACCCUUUCUGGGUGCCGUGCUGUGUGCGUCAUGUCAUCGACGUCUGCUAAAUAACCCAGCGAGGGAGCUGAUUACUCUGCUGGUUAACUUCUGAGUCUCACUUGGCUCACGUCGCAGGGCGAGCAUGGGUGUUGCUGGGAUUCUGACCUUGUUCUGAUAAAUGAAUUGAGGUUGGGAGAAGAAAUUGAUUUCCCUGAGACAUCACCAGGGGUAAUUGUCAGAGCUGGAAUUUGAACAAGGCCUGUUGCAGCCUGACUCCAGAGCCUAAACUCCUAACUCUUGGUAUAUACUGCUACAGAGUGCAGAGUGUGGCACAUGUGGUCCUGGGAAAUCCUCAUAGCCACUUCAGGGUUAGGAAUGGUGACAUCACCCAGUGGAGCAGACAACCAAGGCUCACAGAGCUGAAGACACUCAUCUCAUCCCACAGAGCUGGUCUGUGGCUAAGCAAGGAGUAGAAUGAAUAUCACAUAACCUUCUGAAUUAAACUCAUAUUCUUAAUCAGUCUUAA